UAGUAUAAAGAUAUACGACACAUGUCUGAUAUUUUGCUGCCUAUGGAUUCUUCUGAGUCUUAUGGUUUCCCAUCAUAUGUUUAAGUCCUUUAUUCAUUUUGAGUUUAUUUUUGUAUAUGGUGUAAGUUGGUGGUCUAGUUUCAUUUUUUUUUUUUUUUUGCAUGUAUCUGUCCAAUUUUUCCAACAUGAGGGUUUUAUUUUAGAUGAGUAGGGUCAACAUCUGUCAGCUAUUUUAAGUGCAGCUCAGUUGCUGGCUUUCCUAGGAAGAUUGGGUCUGAAUUUCUGUAUUCAGUUGGAGCUGAAUCACUAUUGCCAUUCAGAGAGAUUUGGCCCUCUCCACUUCCCCGUAGUCCCCAACUCUUCCUUGUUUUACACCCCCCUCGCUUUACUCAUGUGUUAUUACAUUCCAGGUUCCUAAAUGAAUUUGAGUUGUGACCCCUGCUUUAGAAGAAAUCACCAUAUGUUGGAUUAGGUUACAUUUUUUUCCUUCAAUUAAAUGGCCAACCUCCUGUAUCCCUAUAAACUCAGAUGUGCUUUUAAUCUACUUUAAAAAAAUAAUCAUAGACUCUGUAAACAUAGUGGAUUAAUCAUAUAUGUUAAGUGGUCUCUUUCAAAGCCUUACUAAAGAGGAAAGGAAGAAAGAAUGUAUAAAUCCAGGAAGACAUCCUACAAGAGAACAGUAGAAGAGAUACCAUGGAUGAGAGGGUGUAAGAAUUUGGAAGACGGUAAGUGAAUGCAGAGUUGAUAAUUAAAAUCAGCACAAAGAACCAAAAUUUAUCCUGAAGAACUAUCUCAAAAACUCAAGGCUGGGUGGUACUAGGUAGAGAGAAAGUGGAGUGUGAGGCAGGAUUGAGAGUAAGGAAUUAUUUGAAAGCUGGUAAACAAAAUGGAGCCCUAGACCCUGUCCACCCUGACAGUCAAAUGAGUAUCCCCAGCCUAGGCAGGAAAAUAGAGGUUUAUUUUCUGAAAAAAAUGAAGCCAUGAAAGUUGAGGCCUUGGGGACAGUGGGUGUGGUAGUGGACCAGGGUGAGAGGAUGUGGGGCUGACAAUGGGAAUUAGGCACGUGUCCACUUACACUACAGGGGUCCUUGGUUCCCUUCCCCUUGAAAAUUUGUCUGGUAUUUGGCCAUUUGGAAAAUAAUACUGAUAACUGACUGAUCUGAGGAUGUGUUGCAAAAAACAAAAAGACAUUUAGAAAACUAAGCAAAUGAAGGGAAAGGGCAGUUAAGUUAUUAAUUCCAGGUAAGACAAAAGUCACAAAAAAGAAACUGUAAUUCUGAUUUACUAGUUGGCUCUGCAAUGAAUACUGUUUAUUGAGUUAACCUAACAUCAUAACAUGACCAUUUGGGAUGAUAAGGAAAGACAUACUGUGUGGUAGGAACAGGGCAGAUGGAUGAAAGAGUUACAUUUAAUUUCAUCCAAAGCAGGAAGUCAUUUUAAUAUAUAAACCGUCUUUUAAAAAAGAACUCACCAAAAUAAAAGUGUGACCUGAAAACACAUAAUUAUUUGGAGACAAUCUUUGCAAGGGAGAAAGGAGAAGAAUUAAAUAUGUGAUUGAAUGAGGUUGAAAGUAUUACAAGAUGAACUUGGUGAUUCUUAAAAGGAAUGGAGGAAGGAUGUGGAGAUGUGUUCAGUGCACAGUGGGCUGAAGGUGGGGUUCUGGAAGUGAAAGAAGAUUGGGUGUCUUUACUGUGAGGAAUGUCAAAAACCACACAUCUAGAGAUGGAGUGACAUUUCCAAGCGAGGCCUACUCUGAUAGGGGUGUGCUGCUGAUAAAACUGAUUUAGGUCAGAAGUACUGUGAGCUGAUGAAAUUAAGAAUAUUGUCAAAAAGAAAUAGAAUCUACAUUUCCUUUUCUGCUCCCAUCUUUAUCCACCCUUGAACUAUCAGCAGGUCAGAUGGUCUAUCAAGCUUAGCUUCCAAUCUCAGAACCACCCCCUGCAUUCCAGCACACUUUUCCUAACUACAUUUUUCUUUCCAUCAAAAUGAAAGUCUCAGUCACAAAUGAGGAACAUGGCAACAAAUUGUUCAUCAAAAAUUUACAGAGUUUAAUUUGCCGCAGUGGAUCCAGCCCAACAUCACUGUGUGCCAGAGAAAUAAAAGCCCGAGCCCUAAGGAGUUUAUCAUCUGUGGCGAAGUGGAACCAAAACAGAACUCCAGAGGAGGAAGGAGUUGAGUGCAGCAGGAAAGAGAGAAGACCAAGAAUGUGUGCAAGAGUCAAAAACCCCCAAGAACAGGCGCAAGGCUCCACCUGCUGGUGAAAGUUGGAUCUUUAAAUACAGAUUUCCCUCCAGGAGCACCUUUGCUGUGAUCCCAGCUUUACCUGACUGGUGAUCUUCAAGUGCAUUGAAGAUCUUCCUCACGGGCCUCAUUGCUGCUUCCCUGCAGACCAGCUUAAUGUCUGAGCCUGAGUAGCCCUCAGUCUCCUGAAAGAGCCACAAACCAGCCAUUGGUCAGCAGGCAGAAUGUUGGUGGUGAUCACAUCCUUCUGGUCAGGACCCAGUAUAUCAGAGCCCCUGUUUAGAUUCUGUAUCUGCUCCACACGGACACUGUACAAAGGUCCCCAGAUAGACAAUGCUUGGGGAAAGAGAGGCCUCUAACAUGUUUGGAUAACCUAAGAAGCUGGGCAACAACUUCCUAAUUCCCCUCCAAAUAUAUGUUGUGAGAUGCUGGUGAAGGACUAGACCACCCAUGUUAGUCUAAUGGGGCCCUUGUGCCAAAUCCAAGGAUGAUAAAAUUUCAGUAGACAUUUUUGUUCUUGCAAAUAAGACCAUUAAGCUGCCUUAGAGAAACCUCAAUGAACAUCAAGUUCAAGUGUCCACUCAGAGAAGGCAAUGAUAGCAGUGACAAAGAAGGCAACAGAUAUGCAUCUAGAGCUUUUGGAUUUGUAAAAGACUUCUCAUUUAAUCAUUAUAGUAAUUCUUUGUGGCAGAUCUGUUAGCCACCUUAUAGAUGAAAAGGCUGAGGCUCAGAGAAUAAGUGAUUCACACAGAUAAUAAGCAGCUGACAGACCAACGAUUUGACUACAGGUUCUCCUAGCCUAAGCCUUGUGCUAGCUAUUCUUACUAUAUCAUAUUGCUUCUCCCUGCUUGAAUAUUUCUGAGUGACGAAGGGCUCAUUCUUCAUGAAGAAGAGGUCCAUUGCAUUGUUGGGGAGCUGGAAUCCUUUAUAAGUGACUCAAGGAAGAGGCUCCGAGCAGCUCAUGAGAACACCCUGUCGAGAAGACUGUCACGUGAUGGCUGCUUGGCCUACUGAUGCCUCUCCAGGGCAGCUUACCUGGCUCAGAGUGCCGUACUCCAGCUCUGUGCGCAGCUCCAGCGCUCUGCUCUUGCUCAAUGGGGGCAGCCAGUGGUAGAUCAUGGCUUUCCUGGCCUCCUGGCUGGGGAGGUCAACCAGAAUCCUCUUCUCCAGGCGGCGCAACAUGGCACAGUCCAGUUCCCUGAAAUCAUGUCAGAAACGGAGGAACUGGUUGGGGCUGUGAACUCACUUCCUAAGCAACAAGUACAGCUUAAGAACAAUUUUGCACUGCAGGAAGCGAUUCUGCAUGUUAACUCCCCCUCACAUCUAUGCCUGAAUGGAUAGGACAACUACUUUAUAUUGUUUGCUUAAAAAGAAGAAAAGAAAAUACAUCCUUUAAAA